rnacentral:rRNA from 1 species
ACUAAGCGUACACGGUGGAUGCCCUGGCAGUCAGAGGCGAUGAAGGACGUGCUAAUCUGCGAUAAGCGUCGGUAAGGUGAUAUGAACCGUUAUAACCGGCGAUUUCCGAAUGGGGAAACCCAGUGUGAUUCGUCACACUAUCAUUAACUGAAUCCAUAGGUUAAUGAGGCGAACCGGGGGAACUGAAACAUCUAAGUACCCGAGGAAAAGAAAUCAACCGAGAUUCCCCCAGUAGCGGCGAGCGAACGGGGAGCAGCCCAGAGCCUGAAUCAGUGUGUGUGUUAGUGGAAGCGUCUGGAAAGGCGUGCGAUACAGGGUGACAGCCCCGUACACAAAAAUGCACAUAUUGUGAGCUCGAUGAGUAGGGCGGGACACGUGGUAUCCUGUCUGAAUAUGGGGGGACCAUCCUCCAAGGCUAAAUACUCCUGACUGACCGAUAGUGAACCAGUACCGUGAGGGAAAGGCGAAAAGAACCCCGGCGAGGGGAGUGAAAAAGAACCUGAAACCGUGUACGUACAAGCAGUGGGAGCACGCUUAGGCGUGUGACUGCGUACCUUUUGUAUAAUGGGUCAGCGACUUAUAUUCUGUAGCAAGGUUAACCGAAUAGGGGAGCCGAAGGGAAACCGAGUCUUAACUGGGCGUUAAGUUGCAGGGUAUAGACCCGAAACCCGGUGAUCUAGCCAUGGGCAGGUUGAAGGUUGGGUAACACUAACUGGAGGACCGAACCGACUAAUGUUGAAAAAUUAGCGGAUGACUUGUGGCUGGGGGUGAAAGGCCAAUCAAACCGGGAGAUAGCUGGUUCUCCCCGAAAGCUAUUUAGGUAGCGCCUCGUGAAUUCAUCUCCGGGGGUAGAGCACUGUUUCGGCAAGGGGGUCAUCCCGACUUACCAACCCGAUGCAAACUGCGAAUACCGGAGAAUGUUAUCACGGGAGACACACGGCGGGUGCUAACGUCCGUCGUGAAGAGGGAAACAACCCAGACCGCCAGCUAAGGUCCCAAAGUCAUGGUUAAGUGGGAAACGAUGUGGGAAGGCCCAGACAGCCAGGAUGUUGGCUUAGAAGCAGCCAUCAUUUAAAGAAAGCGUAAUAGCUCACUGGUCGAGUCGGCCUGCGCGGAAGAUGUAACGGGGCUAAACCAUGCACCGAAGCUGCGGCAGCGACACUAUGUGUUGUUGGGUAGGGGAGCGUUCUGUAAGCCUGUGAAGGUGUACUGUGAGGUAUGCUGGAGGUAUCAGAAGUGCGAAUGCUGACAUAAGUAACGAUAAAGCGGGUGAAAAGCCCGCUCGCCGGAAGACCAAGGGUUCCUGUCCAACGUUAAUCGGGGCAGGGUGAGUCGACUCCUAAGGCGAGGCCGAAAGGCGUAGUCGAUGGGAAACAGGUUAAUAUUCCUGUACUUGGUGUUACUGCGAAGGGGGACGGAGAAGGCUAUGUUGGCCGGGCGACGGUUGUCCCGGUUUAAGCGUGUAGGCUGGUUUUCCAGGCAAAUCCGGAAAACUAAGGCUGAGGCGUGAUGACGAGGCACUACGGUGCUGAAGCAACAAAUGCCCUGCUUCCAGGAAAAGCCUCUAAGCAUCAGGUAACAUCAAAUCGUACCCCAAACCGACACAGGUGGUCAGGUAGAGAAUACCAAGGCGCUUGAGAGAACUCGGGUGAAGGAACUAGGCAAAAUGGUGCCGUAACUUCGGGAGAAGGCACGCUGAUAUGUAGGUGAAGUCCCUCGCGGAUGGAGCUGAAAUCAGUCGAAGAUACCAGCUGGCUGCAACUGUUUAUUAAAAACACAGCACUGUGCAAACACGAAAGUGGACGUAUACGGUGUGACGCCUGCCCGGUGCCGGAAGGUUAAUUGAUGGGGUCAGCGCAAGCGAAGCUCUUGAUCGAAGCCCCGGUAAACGGCGGCCGUAACUAUAACGGUCCUAAGGUAGCGAAAUUCCUUGUCGGGUAAGUUCCGACCUGCACGAAUGGCGUAAUGAUGGCCAGGCUGUCUCCACCCGAGACUCAGUGAAAUUGAACUCGCUGUGAAGAUGCAGUGUACCCGCGGCAAGACGGAAAGACCCCGUGAACCUUUACUAUAGCUUGACACUGAACAUUGAGCCUUGAUGUGUAGGAUAGGUGGGAGGCUUUGAAGUGUGGACGCCAGUCUGCAUGGAGCCGACCUUGAAAUACCACCCUUUAAUGUUUGAUGUUCUAACGUUGACCCGUAAUCCGGGUUGCGGACAGUGUCUGGUGGGUAGUUUGACUGGGGCGGUCUCCUCCUAAAGAGUAACGGAGGAGCACGAAGGUUGGCUAAUCCUGGUCGGACAUCAGGAGGUUAGUGCAAUGGCAUAAGCCAGCUUGACUGCGAGCGUGACGGCGCGAGCAGGUGCGAAAGCAGGUCAUAGUGAUCCGGUGGUUCUGAAUGGAAGGGCCAUCGCUCAACGGAUAAAAGGUACUCCGGGGAUAACAGGCUGAUACCGCCCAAGAGUUCAUAUCGACGGCGGUGUUUGGCACCUCGAUGUCGGCUCAUCACAUCCUGGGGCUGAAGUAGGUCCCAAGGGUAUGGCUGUUCGCCAUUUAAAGUGGUACGCGAGCUGGGUUUAGAACGUCGUGAGACAGUUCGGUCCCUAUCUGCCGUGGGCGCUGGAGAACUGAGGGGGGCUGCUCCUAGUACGAGAGGACCGGAGUGGACGCAUCACUGGUGUUCGGGUUGUCAUGCCAAUGGCACUGCCCGGUAGCUAAAUGCGGAAGAGAUAAGUGCUGAAAGCAUCUAAGCACGAAACUUGCCCCGAGAUGAGUUCUCCCUGACUCCUUGAGAGUCCUGAAGGAACGUUGAAGACGACGACGUUGAUAGGCCGGGUGUGUAAGCGCAGCGAUGCGUUGAGCUAACCGGUACUAAUGAACCGUGAGGCUUAACC